CUGGGUCCCGGCCGCCCAGCCAGCAAGGUGACCCAGGGCCUCUUCCUCUCCUUCACCUGCCCUGCGGUAAUUUUGUUUCUACUUCCUGUUCUCACAGACACUUCGGUGGAAGGAAAAGAAAUAAAUGAUUUCCUGAGGAAGAUGGCAGUGAGAGCAGAUGUUGUACCUUUUGGCUAAAAUUAGGUGAGAAGAUUACCAGUGGAUCAGCGUAAAAGCACACGUUAAUCCCAGUGCUAGUGUGACAGGAGAGGGCUGUAACGGACAGCACGUUGCAAAGCAUGAACUUUGGCCUAGCACAGCAAAGCUGCUCACCUGCCUUCGAGAAUGGAAACUUGUUGUCUGACUGCUGAUAGACCCUGAGGUGACUGGAAUAAUUCAUACUAAACUGUGAAUGGUUCAUUGCUGAUCCAACUUGUGAUCCUUCUCCCAGCGAAGGCUGCAUCCCUGCUCAUUCCCAGGCAGGACCAUCCAGCCCGCCAGCCUGGGGAUCCCUUCGAUGCACUGCUGACUGUGAUCACUGCCGUGUUCUUCCGACAUCCCAACACAUUCCGAACUUCAAGAGAUGGCCUAUAAAUGUGCAUCUUUAAGUGAGCUCGUCCAGCCCAGAAGGGAGGGCAAACUGGAGACUGGCUCCGACGGGGUGAGAGGGCACGCCUGCAGUGGACCUGUCACCUCGUUUGCCACCUGCCCCCAGGUC